AAAAAAAACCCUACUCUCACAAUCUCUCUCUAUCACUCUUGUGACUCUCACCCCGCUCAUGACUGAGACGAUCUCUCUCUCUCUCUCUCUCUCUCAAGCGACUCUCAUCCUGUUUGCAACUCUCACCUGGUUGCAACUCUCACCUGCUCGUGGCUUUCCUUCUCAACAAGAUACUGCAUUUGGUUUGUUUGUGACUAAGCUGUCGGUUCUCUUUCUCAAGAGAAAAAUUUGUAAUCUCUGAUCCUCAGUUUUAUUUUAGACGUUUUGGAAUGAAAACAAAGACUCCAGCUAGUAGGAGUAUUAUUGUUGCAUCUACAGGUGGCAUGGGUCAGGAUGGAUUAGGCAUCAAUGAACAAAGGAAAAACAUCACGAGGACCGAGCAGAUGGAUGAAACAAUGAUUCGAUGCUUCCAAGUCCAAGUAUGGGGGGGAAAAGAUAGGAAAUUCUUUCAAAGAGACGGCUUAUAAUUUUGUUGCUAAAGAGGUGAAUUCAAAGCAUCCAUAACAUCAUAAGGAAGUAAUAAAAGACAAUGUGGUCAAUCACUUUAAAGACAAUUAAGAAGACCUUUAGAAAUCUUCUUCUUUGUCUAGAGCAAAAUGGGUUUAGUUUUGCUCAUACAUAGAAGAAGUUGAAGGUAGAAGACCAAAUAUGGUAUCCAUUUGCUGUCUGGAUGAGUAAUAGAAUUUGUUUUAUUCCUUAAAAAUGUAGAAUGAACUACUUUUUACUGAACUACCA